GACUUGGUGGCGCAAUGGUAGCGCGUCCGACUCCAGAUCGGAAGGCUGCGUGUUCAAAUCACGUCCGGGUCA
rnacentral:tRNA from 2 species